AAACAUAUUACACCUAGCUUCGGAUGCCAAACUUUUCCAAUUACGAGAGAACAGUAAUUCACCAAGGAUGAGGUAAACGAAAUGGGAAUCAGGCCCUUAACGUUACGUUAAACUGCUUUGAAUUACCUGUGGAAGAAAAAUCUCCAGUCGGGUAAAAUGGCAGAUAAGGCUCUGACAGGAACUGACAGUGCAGAAACCAUGGAGUCCCUGGACAGACCUGCAACUGCAAAGCCCGGAUUAAUUGACUCUGUGGCAUUUGGACAUGACCAUUUCAGCACCUUCUACAGAGUAAAUUGAGCAGAAGGGUCAAAUUCAA